UACGAAGGUCCCAAGCGUUAUCCGGAUUUAUUGGGCGUAAAGCGCGCGCAGGCGGUUUCUUAAGUCUGAUGUGAAAGCCCACGGCUCAACCGUGGAGGGUCAUUGGAAGCUGGGGAACUUGAGUGCAGAAGAGAAAAGCGGAAUUCCACGUGUAGCGGUGAAAUGCGUAGAGAUGUGGAGGAACACCAGUGGCGAAGGCGGCUUUUUGGUCUGUAACUGACGCUGAGGCGCGAAAGCGUGGGGAGCAAACAGG
rnacentral:rRNA from 1 species